rnacentral:rRNA from 1 species
AAUGAGGCGAACCGGGGGAACUGAAACAUCUAAGUACCCCGAGGAAAAGAAAUCAACCGAGAUUCCCCCAGUAGCGGCGAGCGAACGGGGAGGAGCCCAGAGCCUGAAUCAGUGUGUGUGUUAGUGGAAGCGUCUGGAAAGGCGCGCGAUACAGGGUGACAGCCCCGUACACAAAAAUGCACAUGCUGUGAGCUCGAUGAGUAGGGCGGGACACGUGGUAUCCUGUCUGAAUAUGGGGGGACCAUCCUCCAAGGCUAAAUACUCCUGACUGACCGAUAGUGAACCAGUACCGUGAGGGAAAGGCGAAAAGAACCCCGGCGAGGGGAGUGAAAAAGAACCUGAAACCGUGUACGUACAAGCAGUGGGAGCACAGAGCAAUCUGUGUGACUGCGUACCUUUUGUAUAAUGGGUCAGCGACUUAUAUUCUGUAGCAAGGUUAACCGAAUAGGGGAGCCGAAGGGAAACCGAGUCUUAACUGGGCGUUAAGUUGCAGGGUAUAGACCCGAAACCCGGUGAUCUAGCCAUGGGCAGGUUGAAGGUUGGGUAACACUAACUGGAGGACCGAACCGACUAAUGUUGAAAAAUUAGCGGAUGACUUGUGGCUGGGGGUGAAAGGCCAAUCAAACCGGGAGAUAGCUGGUUCUCCCCGAAAGCUAUUUAGGUAGCGCCUCGUGAAUUCAUCUCCGGGGGUAGAGCACUGUUUCGGCAAGGGGGUCAUCCCGACUUACCAACCCGAUGCAAACUGCGAAUACCGGAGAAUGUUAUCACGGGAGACACACGGCGGGUGCUAACGUCCGUCGUGAAGAGGGAAACAACCCA